AACGGGCAUUAGAAUGUGGGGUGUUAUGGUGAAACGGGCAACAAUUAAUAGACCACGUCAUCAAUUACGGCCUAAGUAUGACAGGCUGGUCGGAGAGUGCAGCCUAAGGUCCACAGUGUCGUCAAUAGUGCAGACAUUCAGGUGAGAAAACGGAAUUUGUAAAUCAGGAGGUCCCGGAACACAUUUGGGUACUCGACAGAUAUAGAUCCAGUUGGCAAUUCGACGUGAAUAGGCUACAGUACAUCGGUAGCACUAACAGCGGAAGAAAAGCACCUAAAACUUUCACAAUCUUGCGGUGCUGAGGCUACAAAAGGCUGCAGGAAAAGACAACUUUAUGAACUCUGAACGCUUUUAGUGUAAUGUUUACAGUGCAAAGCGAACACCGACAUGGAAAAAGACAAGUCGUGCAGCAGACCGGAUCUGUGUAAGGUGCCGGAACAAAGUAAGGAAAAUCUGAGAGGUGCUGGAUCUUGUUCCGGCAGGAUCCGGCUCAAAUUAAACACUGCUGGUGUGUAAUCAUACUGUACAGCAAUAUUCAUUCACACUGGUAUCCCAGUAAAUGUAGCCAGUGGACGUGUCAGAAUUUAUGUAGAAUAAAUUGCCUUUACUGUGCUGUAUUUCCUGUCUUGGAUUGAGCGUCCCAUGGUGGCUUGCGAUCAGUUUUCACGGCUCAACAAGAGCUUGACCAAUUUGUAAUAUGGUCGCAGCAAACAAUGCUGUUAGACUAAAAGAUGUUCAAAUGGCAGUCCUACAAGAUGACGGCAUCUUUGUUAACACCGUCAACCUCCACAAUUGAUAUUGCUGAAGAGAAAUCAGUUUGCAAGGAAGCAACUCUACAAGGUAUCCUUUCAGAGGAAUGGUGAUUGAGUGAUGGAGCUGAGGUACCAGGAUGUACAGGGUGCAUUAUUCUGCUAGAAGAGACCAAUGCCAUGAGGGCAUACUGUUUCCAUGAAAGGGUGCCCAUGGUCUACAACAAUCCUCAGUGCAUCCUGGUGCCAUGUGUUCUCCAGGUAAGCAAAGCACUCGGCCUUCCACGGGAUGUAUAAGGAAACGUGAUUCAUCAGACCAGGCCACCUUCCACUGGUCCAGUUCU